UGAGGAAUAUUGGUCAAUGGGCGCAAGCCUGAACCAGCCAUGCCGCGUGCAGGAAGACGGUCCUCUGGAUUGUAAACUGCUUUUAUUUGGGACUAAACCUCUUUACGCGUAGAGAGCUGACGGUACCAAAUGAAUAAGCACCGGCUAACUCCGUGCCAGCAGCCGCGGUAAUACGGAGGGUGCAAGCGUUAUCCGGAAUCAUUGGGUUUAAAGGGUGCGCAGGCGGAUUUGUAAGUCAGUGGUGAAAGCCUAGAGCUCAACUGGAGAACUGCCAUUGAUACUGUAAGACUUGAAUUAGAUCGAGGUGGGCGGAAUAUGACAUGUAGCGGUGAAAUGCUGAGAUAUGACAUAGAACACCAAUAGCGAAGGCAGCUCACUAGGUAUGGAUUGACGCUGAGGGACGAAAGCGUGGGGAGCAAACA
rnacentral:rRNA from 1 species